UCCACAAGACAACGUACAAUUAAUUUGUUAUUUUUAUAUAAGAGAAAGAUAGUAUACUGCAUGUUUCGGUCAUAUUUUAUUAGAAAUAAGUUUAGCUGAAAAUGUAAAACAACUAGGUUUCGAACUUAAAAUUUUGAAUGCUAGUCAUCAAGUCCUUGUUUAUCUGUGCUAGGAAUUGUCGAUAUAAUGUGAAGUGUUUUGACGACGGAUAACUAAAAGAAAUAGAGCUAGAGUUCAAAUUUGAGAUCUAAUGUCCUAGUCAACAU
rnacentral:lncRNA from 1 species